CCCACUGAACAAGGCCAGGGAUUGAACCUGCAUCCUCAUGGAGACUACGUUGGGUUCUCAGCCUGAUGAUGACCCACAAUGGGAACUCCAAGACUCUAUGGAUACCAGGAUGAAAAAGUAAUCCCCUUGCUUCCCAGCUGACUCACUCCAAACUCUGGCUGAGCUGCACCUUCUCCCUGAAGACAGAAUGGCUACUGGACACAGAUAAAGCUGGUCAGGUGUCAGUAAAAGAUGCAAACACACACCUA